UGUAUUUCAGAUUAGAGAAACUAACUGACAUGUAAUGUUCAACUUCAAAACACACCAUUUGUUUAUGGAGCCUCAAACGUCAUUAUGUUUUUCUAUACUUUUAAUGGAACAACCUCCAAUCCCUUCUCUUUAACUGGGCCGGCCAACUGCUCCAUAUUUGGAUUACACAUUUCACACACACUCUUACGCACGCCUACACACACAUACUCACUCCCUCCGUCACACACUCACUCACUCACUGGAGGUGGGGGCAAGGAGCGAUAGAGCUAUUAGCUCGGGCUGCAGCAGACAUCAUUGUACGAGCGGAGGGGAGACGAUUCCACCGGCAGUGCGCGAGAACGCACGGAGCCCUGGCAACACGGAGAGCCUCGCGCUUCCCUGCCCGUUAUACCGUACACUACAGGAAUGGUGAGGGUUGUUGGAGCCAGGCAGACUCAGACGUGGACAGACAGAGUGGGAAUCACGAGCUGUCCCCUCAGACAGCAGGAGGAGAGAUUUAUACAUCCCCGUCCCAGUGGUUUCAUCUGGACUCUUCUCUCCGAUUGAACAUUGGAACCUUCUACCUGGUCAAGAUCCGCCUGUAUCAUCCUAUUGGGUAAGACAGCGGUUUACUUUCACU